AUGGAGGGCGUGCAGAAAACUCUGGAGGAAUUACUGACGAAAUUUUCGUCGCUGUCGACCGAAGUCCAGCAGCUGAGUACUCAGGUGGCCGAUUUCGGCGAGGGGUUGGAUGCGGUCAAGCGUACCCAGGCCAUGGAGGCGGCGGUGCGGACGGCUCCUUCGUCCUCCACCACACACCCCGCGGCAGUGUUGGUCAACAAGGGAGCCCCACUCCUCCACGUUCCACCACGGCCACCACCGCCGCCUGUUCGUCGCGACGCACACCCGGACCGCCAGGCCUCACCACCACGGUCCCCGCGCGACACCUACCGUCACAAGCCGCCGAAGCACGAUUUUCCCCGGUUCAGCGGCGACGCCCCGCGCCUCUGGUUUGACCUCUGCCACACCUAUUUUCAGCUCUAUCAAACGCCACCAGAGCACUGGGUUUCUACAGCUGUGUUGUAUAUGGACGGCCAUGCCGCGCUAUGGUGUCAGGCAUACAAGCGUCUGCAUGGUCUGGGUGAUUGGUUUUCAUUCAUGGAGGCAGUGCAGACUGAAUUUGGGCAGGAUGAGUUUGACGGCUUGCUGCAUCGUUUGCAUCACCUCAAGCAGACUUCUACUGUCGCUGAGUACAGGCUCUCGUUUGAGGCUAUUAUGUAUCAUCUCAUUGCGCUGGAUCCGUCCUUGAAUCAGAAAUUUUUUGUCUCUCAGUUUAUCAUCGGUCUCCGGGAUGAGGUCCGCACAGGAGUGCGCCAGCACGCGCCGACGAGCGUUUCCAGAGCAGCGGCACUUGCCCGGAUUCAGGAGGAAGAAUCUGAACACAGCAAGCCGCGGGGUCGCCCACCGGUGUAUACUCGCGCCAUCCCUCCGCCGCCAGUGCCUGCAAUGGCUCCUGGACCAGUACAGCCACGCAUCGAUGGUGCUAAGCGCGGCCCGGAUGAUUUUGGCCGUGAACGGCAACUGCGUGAAUUCAGACGCGCCAAUGGAUUGUGUUUCAAGUGCGGUGACAAGUAUUCCAGAGAACAUAAAUGCAACAGGGUUGGUCAGCUCCUAACCAUUGAAGUGGGCGAUCAUGGUGAACUUUUGUCUGAUGAUGCCAUCCGUGCGCUUGAUUUGCUUGAUGACAAUCCAGAAGAAGCUGCAGCUUGCUAUCACAUUUCAGUCCAUGCGGUAGCAGGAACAGAAUCGUCAGGUACCAUGAGGCUACGAGCAUUGGUUGGCAACCAGGUAAUGCUAUUGUUGGUAGAUUCUGGCAGCACGCAUACAUUCGUGAAUUCCACGUUUGCGUCGCGAGCCGGUUGCACGGUGCAGGAAGCAGAACCGGUGACAGUGCGUGUGGCUAAUGGCGAAACACUGAAAUCCACACAGCAGGUCUCUCAAUUGAAAUGGUGGUGUCAGGGACAUACUUUCAGCACUGAUAUGAGAUUGUUGGAUUUAGGGGCAUAUGAUGCUGUCCUUGGAGUUGAUUGGCUGGCCCAAUUCAGCCCCAUGAAUUGCCAUUGGGGACUGAAGACCAUGGAGUUCCGCUAUGGCCUGACAAAUAUUCAGUUGCAAGGGGUACGGGCACCUGGGGAGCCAACACUGACUGAAAUACGAGCAGAGCAACUGUCGAAGUGGAUUCAGGGCAAUGAGGUUUGGGCUUUGACAGUUAUCCAGCCUGCAGAUUCUGUUACAAACAACACCAAGCCACUGCCACUAUCUUUGCAAGCUCUACUAGAGGAGUUUGCUGAUGUAUUUCAGGAACCUACCACACUACCACCACAUAGAUCGUUUGAUCAUGCUAUACACUUGGAACCCGGCGCCACUCCUCCCAAUGUUCGGCCGUAUCGAUAUUCUCCUCUUCAGAAGGACGAGAUUGAGCGUCAGGUGACUGAAAUGUUAAAAGCUGGGUUGAUCACCAAUAGUAUUAGUCCAUUUGCUGCUCCUGUCCUGCUAGUCAAGAAGAAGGAUGACACAUGGCGUUUCUGUGUCGAUUAUCGCCGACUGAAUGAUAUCACAAUUAAGAAUAAGUUUCCCUUACCAGUGAUUGAUGAACUGCUAGACGAGUUGGCGGGAGCUCGCUUCUUUUCUAAAUUGGACUUACGAUCGGGUUAUCAUCAAAUCAGGAUGCGCCCAGAGGAUGAAGCCAAGACAGCAUUUAAAACCCAUCACGACCAUUUUCAGUUCCGAGUAAUGCCGUUUGGUGUCACAAAUGGGCCACCUACAUUUCAGUGUUUGAUGAAUUCUGUCUUGGCACCUGGUACCAGGAAGUAUGUCAUAGCAUUUUUGGAUGACAUCUUGACAUACAGUGAGUCGUUUGAUGAGCACCUGCAACAUUUGAGACUGGUUCUUACCACACUUCGGCAGCAUCAGUUAUAUGCCAAAUUUUCAAAGUGCACUUUUGCCCAGUCUUCCAUCAAUUACUUGGGCCAUGUGAUUUCAGCAGAAGGGGUUGCAACAGAAUCUGACAAAACAGAGGCGAUCCAAAACUGGCCACAACCUUCUUCACAAACAGAACUGCGAGCAUUUUUGGGCCUGACGGGAUACUAUCGCAAGUUUGUCAGGAAUUACAGUAUAAUCACAAAACCCCUGACAACUCUUUUGAGCAAGAAAGGUUUUGUUUGGUCUGUUGAAGCCACUGAGGCCUUCCUGAAACUGAAACAAGUGAUGACUACUACACCAGUGCUCGCUUUACCAAAUUUCUCACUCCCAUUCACUGUAGAGACGGAUGCUUGUGACACUGGGAUCGGGGCUGUUCUCUCGCAGCAAGGUCACCCAAUUGCGUUUCUCAGUCGCGCGCUCGGGGUCAAUAACAAGAAGUUGUCGGUGUAUGAAAAAGAGUUUCUCGCAGUGAUGAUGGCGAUCGACCGUUGGCGACCAUAUCUUCAGCGAGGUCAAUUCACCAUAUUAACGGAUCACAAAAGUCUCUGUACACUAGGGGAACAACAUCUGGGCUCGGAGCUUCAACGGAAAGCAAUGGCAAAACUGGGAGGUCUUCAGUUUAAGUUCAAAUAUCGCAAGGGCAUCGAUAACACGGCCGCAGAUUCUUUGUCACGUGUUGGGCACUUGUUCACUGUCACAGCCACAUCAACGUGUCAGCCUUCAUGGAUUCAGGAAGUGUGCAAUUCUUACCGCACUGACGCCAAGGCAACGGAGCUUUUGCAGGCAUUGACGAUUUGCAGCCCAGACACUCAUGGCCAUGAACUAGACAGAGGCAUGAUUAAGUACAAAGGACGCCUCUAG
rnacentral:rRNA from 1 species